GAAUUUUGGACAAUGGGCGAAAGCCUGAUCCAGCAAUGCCGCGUGCAGGAUGAAGGCCUUCGGGUUGUAAACUGCUUUUGUCCGGAACGAAAAGCUUUGGGUUAAUACCCUGUAGUCAUGACGGUACCGUAAGCAUAAGCACCGGCUAACUACGUGCUCGCAGCCGCGGUAAGACCUCGGGUGCAAGCGUUAAUCGGAACUACUUGGCGUAAAGCGUGCGCAGGCGGUUUUGUAAGACAGAGGUGAAACCCCCGGGCUCAACCUGGGAACUGCCUUUGUGACUGCAAGGCUAGAGUACGGCAGAGGAGGGUGGAAUUCCGCGUGUAGCAGUGAAAUGCGUAGAUAUGCGGAGGAACACCGAUGGCGAAGGCAACCCCCUGGGCCUGUACUGACGCUCAUGCACGAAAGCGUGGGGAGCAAACA
rnacentral:rRNA from 1 species